rnacentral:rRNA from 1 species
AACGAACGCUGGCGGCAGGCCUAACACAUGCAAGUCGAGCGCAUCCUUCGGGGUGAGCGGCGGACGGGUUAGUAACGCGUGGGAAUGUACCCUUUUCUACGGAAUAGCCUCGGGAAACUGAGAUUAAUACCGUAUACGCCCGGUAACGGGGAAAGAUUUAUCGGAGAAGGAUCAGCCCGCGUAAGAUUAGAUAGUUGGUGGGGUAAUGGCCUACCAAGUCUACGAUCUUUAGCUGGUUUGAGAGGAUGAUCAGCAACACUGGGACUGAGACACGGCCCAGACUCCUACGGGAGGCAGCAGUGGGGAAUCUUAGACAAUGGGCGCAAGCCUGAUCUAGCCAUGCCGCGUGAGUGAAGAAGGCCUUAGGGUCGUAAAGCUCUUUCAGUGGGGAAGAU